AAGUCGUAACAAGGUUUCCCGUAGGUGAACCUGCGGAAGGAUCAUUACUGAGAUGGGGGUCCUUCGGGGGCCCGACCUCCAACCCAAUGUCUACCGUCCUUGUUGCUUCGGCGGCGGCCGCUCUCGGUAUGACCCAGAGAUGGGACAUUUUCGAAGACCGUUCGGCUCCUUUUAACCGGGGGCUUUCGAGUGCCCGCCUGGGGGAUUUAAGGACGAUCAAACUCUUUACGAACCCGACUUCUAAAAUAUUUGAUUUUAAUAAAUCUUCAAAAA
rnacentral:misc_RNA from 1 species